UCUUCCGUAGUAUAGUGGUCAGUAUGUGAGCUUGUCACUGAUUUCCCUCGGAUUUCUGGCAAUCGCUCGAGACCCGGGUUCAAUUCCCGGCGGGAGAG